rnacentral:rRNA from 1 species
AUUGAACGCUGGCGGAAUGCUUUACACAUGCAAGUCGAACGGCAGCACGGGGGCAGCCCUGGUGGCGAGUGGCGAACGGGUGAGUAAUACAUCGGAACGUGCCCGGUCGUGGGGGAUAACGUAGCGAAAGUUACGCUAAUACCGCAUACGAUCUGAGGAUGAAGGCGGGGGACCUUCGGGCCUCGCGCGAUCGGAGCGGCCGAUGUCAGAUUAGGUAGUUGGUGGGGUAAAGGCCUACCAAGCCGACGAUCUGUAGCUGGUCUGAGAGGACGACCAGCCACACUAGGACUGAAACACGGCCCAGGCUCCUGCGGGAGGCAGCAGUGGGGAAUGUUGGACAGUGGGCGCGAGCCUGAUCCAGCCAUUCCGCGUGCAAGACGAAGGCCUUCGGGUUGUAAACUGCUUUUGUGCGGAACGAAAAGGCUCUGGCUAAUACCUGGGGCUCAUGACGGUACCGUAAGAAUAAGCACCGGCUAACUACGUG